AUGCUGAGGUUGUUCGAAAUCUGGAAACAUAAUUGAUAUUAAUGAGACCAUUUUAGAUCCCUGAGGAAGAUUGCAGGUUGAUCGGACAGGACAGAAAGAAACAAGAAACAGAGGCAGUGAGUGAGAAACAGAUGCGAUUGGCUGAGGAAUUUUGGCACUGUUCAGAUGCAAGGACAAAAGACAUGGUGUCAGAGAGUGGGUGAGGCGAUGGGACUGUUGCCAUUGACAACCUGGAUACCAACACAAUGAUGACCCAGGAAAUACCCUGUGUCUAAUGGAAUAAAUGGAGCCAUUGAAGGAGAGGGA
ensembl:lncRNA